rnacentral:rRNA from 1 species
GACAGAGGUGCCGAGCGUUAGGCGGAAUCACUGGGCUUAAAGCGUGUGUAGGCGGGUCGUUAAGUGCCUUGUGAAAUCCCACAGCUCACCUGUGGAACUGCUUGGCAUACUGGCGAUCUUGAGCCACUUAGGGGCAACCGGAACAAACGGUGGAGCGGUGAAAUGCGUAGAUAUCGGAAGGAACACCUGUGGCGAAAGCGGCUCACUGGACCAUUACUGACGCUGAUGCACGAAAGCUAGGGGAGCAAACAGG